rnacentral:rRNA from 1 species
CUGUCUCAGUUCGGAUUGGAGUCUGCAACCCGACUCCAUGAAGCUGGAUUCGCUAGUAAUCGCGCAUCAGCCACGGCGCGGUGAAUACGUUCCCGGGCCUUGUACACACCGCCCGUCAAGCCAUGGAAGCCGGGGGUGCCUGAAGUGCGCUGCCGCAAGGAGCGCCCUAGGGUAAAACCGGUGACUGGGGCUAAGUCGUAACAAGGUAUC